rnacentral:rRNA from 1 species
ACACGUAGGGGGCAAGCGUUGUCCGGAAUUACUGGGCGUAAAGGGCGUGUAGGCGGAUAAUUAAGUCAGAUGUGAAACCUCUGGGCUCAACCCAGAGCAUGCAUCUGAUACUGGUGAUCUUGAGUGUAGAAGAGGAGAGUGGAAUUCCUAGUGUAGCGGUGAAAUGCGUAGAUAUUAGGAGGAACACCAGUGGCGAAGGCGACUCUCUGGUCUACAACUGACGCUGAGGCGCGAAAGCGUGGGUAGCAAACAGGAUUAGAUACCCUGGUAGUCCACGCUGUAAACGAUGGGUACUAGGUGUUGGGGGUUUCGACGCCCUCAGUGCCGGAGUAAACACAUUAAGUACCCCGCCUGGAGAGUACGGUCGCAAGACUGAA